rnacentral:rRNA from 1 species
GGAGGGUGCAAGCGUUGUCCGGAUUUAUUGGGUUUAAAGGGUGCGUAGGCGGCCCGAUAAGUCAGUGGUGAAAGCCUCCAGCUCAACUGGAGAACUGCCAUUGAUACUGUCGGGCUUGAGUACAGACGAGGUUGGCGGAAUUGAUGGUGUAGCGGUGAAAUGCAUAGAUACCAUCAAGAACUCCGAUUGCGUAGGCAGCUAACUAGGCUGUAACUGACGCUGAGGCACGAAAGCGUGGGGAGCGAACAGGAUUAGAUACCCUGGUAGUCCACGCUGUAAACGAUGAUCACUCGAUGUCGGCGAUAAACUGUCGGCGUCUUAGCGAAAGCGUUAAGUGAUCCACCUGGGGAGUACGCCCGCAAGGGUG